GAGGAAAAACAUUUAAUCGUUAGAAAGGGCAAGCAGUCUAGUGAGAUUAGUUUUGGUUUCCAAAACCUGAAUUGUGAUUUCUGGGCCAGUGCUAGUUGCCUAGACUAGCACUUUGUAGUUCCCUUCCAAACUUCAGCAAAUACUUUAGCAUCCACUGUGUGCGCUGAACUUUAACGAUGGGUUUUAAAGCACUCCCAGAUCCACCACGAUGCCUCACGUGGUGAAGUGGGAGAUGCAGAGUUAUACCAGCCUACUAACCCAUGAAUUAAAGAGUCAAAUCCUCCCUCCUUGUAGUUCCACUCAAAACACUGAUGUGUCUAGCACUGAUUUAGCUUAUACAUUUCCAGCAGCUGUCUGAAUUUAACCAUACAAAUUUAUAGUAGCUAGUGUACAAGAUGCUAUUAUUUCAAGACUUCUAGGGAGUUUAACUGUAUAUGCCAUUUUUAAUACAGGAUACUUACUGCUAUCAAUAAUGUAGUUUGGAAUCGUUUUACCUUUAAAGAUUGUUGCUGGGAUUCCAAACGAAAGCACAAGGAGGAGGGAAGAAACACAUAUGCAUUACAAAUUCUCAAAUGCAGAACUAUCUUCUGUGUUUAGUACUUUGUUAGACCAGCUUAACCAUAGUUACAGACAAGAAGAAUUUGUAAGCAGUUAUGAAAAAAUAGUAUUGGAGCUUUCAGAAUAUCACCUUUGCAAAUGGGCAGAAAAUAAAUACCAUCAGUGGUUUACUAGAGAUACUAACUCUUCACAUACUCUGCUCAGAUAAAGCAAUGCUACCAGGAAAGCAUGCCAAAGGAAAAGCUAGAAAUUUCUGCCGUGCACAAACGUUUUAAUUUGAUAUGUACUAGCUUGCAGUUUUAUUGUAUUAUAAAUGGAAAAACUGAAAAGCACCUGAGGUCAGCAACCUUAUUUCGCAUGAUAACCACUUUACCUUUGACAGGCAAAGUAGUUAUAAUAGCUGUCUCUUUCCUUUUGGGUACCAAGAAUGUCACUGGGGAGCUACACUUACAAUGUAGGGCACUGAAAACACCUGUGCUAUUUCUGAUACUACUUCAAAGCAGAUCACGACAAACAGGGUUCAAAAGGAAUCCAAAGGACUGUAUUGUCUCAUUAUAGUCUCAACAGUUAAA